rnacentral:lncRNA from 1 species
GCGUCCCCGGUGCCAGCUGUGCCUCAGCGUGUGGGGUCUUAAAAGCGCUGCCUCUUCUAUUUUGAUAGAGUGUCUGUCACCUGCAUUUCCAUUUUGGGACAGGCUGUCAGUCUCUGCCUCCCUGCAGUGCACAUGGAGAUGUGUGGACUAAUUUGGGGGCAGUCAGAUGACUCACGCAGAAGAGGAACUGAGGAAGGCUUGUCUGUUAGAGGAGCAGUCGAGAUGGGAGCAUCGUCCUCUUUACAACUCCCUGUACACUCAUCACACGACCUUUCAUGGGUGCUCAGCCCCCCAGGAGACAUCCAGAGUCGAGAACCCCACUCUGCAGAAGGAACUUCUCUACACUGAGGACUCAAAGCCCCAACAGAGGGUCUUCUUUCUCCUGGAUUCAGCUUGUACCCAGCCCGGGAGCACCUCCUGCAAAACAUCUUUGUUUGAAUUAAAAUAGUGACUUC